rnacentral:lncRNA from 1 species
UUUUUUUUUUUUUUUUUUUGCUUUUCUCAAAAGUUGCAAGUGUGUGAGUUUAAGUGCUCACGUGUGUGUGUGUGUGUGUGUGUGUGUGCACAUGCACAUGCGCUUGUGUGCAAACACCAGGUGUCAUCCUUAAUCUUUUUCCACCCUAUCUGUUGAGAUGGAAGCUUUCCCUGAACAUGGAACUUCCUGAUUGCCUCACCUAGCCAGGUGACAAGCCCCAGUGCUGCUUCUGGACCCAACAUACCAGAACUUUUCUUGAUUAAACUAAAAGCCUAUCCAUUUGCUUUGUCAUUUCAAACAUUCCUUCUGUUUCAUUGUUCCUUUUAUUGUUCUAUUCUUUACUCUGUUUAUUUCUCCUCUACCGUUUGUUCUUUCUUUCCCUUCAGUACCUUUGACUUGGUUCUUUCCUAGCUCCUUGAGUUGCAUCAUUAUGUUGUUUAUUCAUAAUCUGUUGGAAGUAGGCACAUUGUCAUAAGCCCCCUUCGAGGUGUCUUUUUUGCUUUAUCGCAUAGGUUUUGUAUGUAACCUUUCCAUUGAUAUUAAGACUGUUGUCCAGAAACAGUAGCUGUUAGGUGGCAGAUGCGGUCAGCCUCUGUUCAAUUUGCUUGGUCUAUAGUGCAGAUGAACUGAAUUAUUUGUUGACUUUCUGUCUCAAUGAUCUGUCUAUUGAUGAGAGCGAUAGUGGCGAAGUCCCCAGCUAUUACUGUUUAAGAAUCUGUUUUUUCAGCAUAUCUGUAGUCUUUCUUUACAUAGUUCAUGUUGCUACAUUGCGUGUAUCUAUAUUUAUAAUUAUUUCCUUUUGUUGAAUUAAUCCAUCUAGCAUUAGACAACAACUUUCUGCAUCUCGUUCUUCAGUCUUUAUUUACAGCAGUGUAACUACUCCUGCUUGCUUUGGGUUUUACUUCUGUAUCCUUUUCCAUCCCAUCACUGUUGGUUUAUGGGUGUCUUCUUCAGUGGCAUAGUGAGUUUAUUGUAGAGAGUGUAUCACCAGGCUUUAGUGCAUCUAGUCGGCCUGUAGCUUUUAAUUGAGAGGUUGACAUAAUAUGUAUGUCUUUUCUAUUAUGUGUUCUGCCAGUCAUUUAUAUGACCUGUGUUCCUGCCUUUCUUUGGUUCAUUGCUGCAAUUUGAUGGUUUUCUAUUCAGAUAGGUUUCUCUUUUGUGCAUCUGCUAGAGCACUAUUAAGUUCUACAUUGGGUGAUGCCUUAGUGGCACAGAAUUUAGGAGUUGCAGUAUUACACACAUAUUUUCAUGCAUCUCUCUCUUAGGCAAGGCAAAAUCGCUAGCAUUUUGGACACAGUAGUUUGAGGAUGAAAAUGCUUAUCAGUUUCUAUAGAUAAUAUAGGAUCAAUGUCACCCCCUGGGCCAACGUAGGCAUGGCACACCGUGCUCCUCAGUAGAGAGGAUGCUAUCUGUAUCUGGAGCUUGCAUAGGGGCUGAUGUAUAAGCAAGCAUAGGUGUGGUACCUACAAGAGAUGGAAGGCCAUGGAUUACACCAUAGGCUCAAGAACAAGUUGUUACUCUGCCCUUCAGAGACUUGGUUGGUGGCUUUCUGAAGUAAGCAUAUCAACUAAUUCUUGAGACUGCAGCAGGAUGUCCAGGACUACUUAGAGUCUCAGAGAUAGCUUCUGUGAUCUUAGCUACUCAGGGAUAGAAGCCUUGGUGGGCAAGCUAUGCAGGUAUGACUGCUUAUUAUCUGCUUUUCGUGUGUUUCCUGGGAAGUAGAAAAUGGAUCUUCUUCAGACCAAAUUGUUCAACAUAGGCUGCCCAGAUGAUUUCUAGGGAGGGGUAUAAGAAGGUAAGCAGAGACAUCUAUAUAUUUUACAGAAGUGAAUUGGCAAAGCUGGUAGAAGCAGUUACUUGGUUGCUUUAUGAACCCUAAGAUGGGUGGAGUAUCAAAAUGGCCCUAUGAGGACAGAGUGGGAUGGACUAGGCUUCUUUUUAAGGCAACUUGGUAGUGUAGUAAAUAGGUAGUCACCCAAACCUGACUUGGGGGCUGUGAUGGCUGUAGACACUCUAUCUGCAAGCAGUAUGCUAUAAGAGAGGACUACUGGUUACCUGUUCCCCGCUGAGCAAACCCCUCUUGGUUCAGCUGGUCUUGAGAAAUAGGAGGGCAGGGGGAUAGGUGCUAGCCCCUUCUUUCUAAGAUCAUCACAUGUUUCCAUGUUCUUCAAUAUUUUUUCCAUAUCUCACUUUAUUCCAGUACUUCAUGCAAACAUGCUGGUGAAAUAGCUGUUGUUUUCCUUGAUACAGAGGAAAGAAAACCAGACACUGCUCAUCGGCCAUCUUCCUGACAUCACCUUCUCAGUAGAAAUAGUAAUUUAUUUAGCUUAUGAUAAACUAUUCCAAUUGUAAUUUCUAGGAUGAUCAAUUAAAAAAAACAGAGAAGGAAUAAGAGCAAGGGCAUAUAUAUAUUUAAACUAGUAAAUAUUUAUUUAAUUGAAAAGAAUUCAGAAAGAGGAAAUAAUAGAUGAGAGAACAUAUAAUCAAGAAAAAACCAGAUGAUAGACUUCAUCAUAACUAUAUUAGUAAUUACAAUAAAUAUAAACAGACUAAAUACUCUAAUUAAAACACCACUAUUGUCAGACUUUUUACAUUUUUUUCAAAGACUCUACUGUAUAAAAUUUAUAAAUGAUAAAUGUUGCCAGAUGUGAUAGACCACACCUGAUGUCUCAUUGUUCUAUUGCUGCGAAGAGACACCAUAACAAACUCUUACAAGGCAAAGCAUUUAAUUUGGGCUGGAUUACAGUUUUGAAGUUUUAGACCAUCAUCAUGAUGGAGAUCAUGGCAGGACACAGGCAGACACGGUCCUGAAGAAGUAGCUGUGAGUUUUACAUCUGGAUCAGCAGAUAUCAGGAAAAGAGAGACACUGGGACUAGCUUGGGCUUUUGAAAUCCCAAAGCCCACCCCCAGUGACUCACUUCAUGCAACAUGGCCACACCUCCUAAUCCCUUUCAAGCAGUACCACUCCCUAACCACCAAGAAUUCAGGUAUAUGAGUCUACAGGGGCCAUUUUUAAUCAAGCCACCACUCUUGCAAUCCCAAUCCUCGGGAGUGAAGUCAGGAGAAUUC